GACCAGCCGAGGCAGUUCCCUGCUUCAGCUCAGAAUGAGUCCGCUCUGGAGCUGAGUGCCUGACCCAAAAGGUCGCUCCUUGAGAAGGAAGUGUUAAAGGCGCAGGAGCAGUUCCGGCACGGUGGCAGCCAGAUAGGGCUGAAAAAAGAGAGAAGGCACUGUAGUUCCUCCUCGCUGAUCUGAAGCCUGCAAACAGAGAUCGUUUCAGAUAUAAAUACUUGGAGCUGCCUGGUUGCCUGGGAGGCUGUUGUAAGAGUGAAGCAUACCGAUCCCUUCUCUGAAGAACAGCUGCAAAUGAUGGCUGAGCUCAGUUAUUAUCCUGGAUAGCAUGAAAAUUAAGGAUCUCUUCCAAGUACUUCCUCUGCAUUAUAGACUUACUUUCAGCUUCUGCUUAGUCCUUUUCCCUCAUGUGACUGAAACUCCACAAAUCUCCACAGUUCUUGUGGAUCACUAUGUAUAUGUUGAGAGCCAGUAACAUCAGCGUUGGCAAUUAGCCUGAGAUCAGUGCCUGGAACAUAAUAAAUCCACCAAAGUUUCCCAUAUGCUGCCCAGAUGUCCUACAAAUAGAUUAUGAGAUACUGCUUGUUGCUCCUUAUAUGUCCCAUCAUAACCACUGAUUCUUAAUGCUAUUUUUUUUUUUUUACCAUCUAGCUAUUAAAAAUGACAGGCAGAAUUAUGCAACAGAAGAUUCGUUUGGGAAAUCUCAUUCACAGUCUGCACAUACACUCAAGGAGACAAGCCCAUUUCUUAAAUACAUCUGUAGUUUAGGAGGAACCUGUGAUAAAUCUAAACCAAGAAGAAUAUUUUGAUGAGCUGAGGCUAAUAAUGCAUCCUUGCCUCUCAUGCUCCAGCAGAAAAAGGUAUCCACAGUCAGUGAGCAUUAUAUAUAUAUAUAUAUAUAUGUGAAACAUAUAGUUUCACAGAAUGCUCAUCCCAGUGAGCAUUAUGUGAAACUAUACUUACUGUGCUGCUGCAUGUUGCCAGGUGUAAACAUUUUGGAACAUUACAAACUGUCACUCAUUUUGCUAAUGGAUAAUUUGCAGUGCCACAUUAUUAAUUACUCUUAUUAGUGAUUAAUACAACAUUCUCAUUGUAUAAGUAUGCAAUCAAGAGGCAAUAAGUUGAGGAGAUGUGUGUCUCUACUGGCAUGAUAAAUAUUUACAUGCUUUCUGUCCUGUUUCACCAAUGUGAGAUGGCUUUCUUUCAGUCCUUUCUGUGACUAUCUGGGUAAAAGGUUUAAAACAAGUUACCACCAGCUAUGUUAGUCUAAAUACAGGAACAGCUGCUUUCUGUGUAUUCAGUUUUCCAUAUGGAGCUACAGUAGAACACCACAGUGCCUUUAUGAAUGCUUUGCCAGACAAGGUGUUAAAUAUCUGAUUUCUCACUCAGGGAUGCUGAGCACACUCACAUGCUAUGAAAAUGAACCACUUCUCAGCUUAGGGCUGGAAAUCUUAAAAAAAACUGUUUUGAACAGGGCAUUUUCACAACCAUGUUGUCUAGCUGUCCUGUCAGCAUAGGCAGGGAGGUAAUACAGAUGGUGGAAGCCGUAGGCCAGCUCUCUGCUACCAAAGGCAGACACAUCUGAAGCAUUCCUCCCAAGCCUGCCAAGGCAAAGACCUUCAAGCAAAAGGCCGUAUUUUAUGUUUCUUUCUUUCUUUCUUUUUAAUUUAAAUUUUGGAAGGUGUUGCUUUGUUUCUGAAUUCUCUGUGGGUCUCUUUAUUCUUGACCAGUGGUUCUGGAGACUGCUUGGCAUUUGUGACUCACAGUGUGAACAUCUGCCUCCUCACAUUCCCAGGGGCAUUGGGAAAAUUGGAGCCGUUAUGUACUAGCUCUAUGUUUCCCCACAAUUUAGGGCCAAGAGAGAUUAUUAUAUUGCCUAGUCUGAUGUCCUGUGUGCCAGUGGCUAUUAGUUGUUGUAGAUGUACCUCAAGGCUGAGACAGUUACUUUCAUUAGCCCGUGGUGUUUUAUUCCUUGAGAAACCAAACUGCUGUGUGUCUGAAGCAGUAUUCAAGACUCCUGCAAUUCUUGAGAACUGAUUGGUCCUUAUAUGCCCAGAUAAUCACAGAGGCACAGAGACAAUCUUUGCAAAAAUUCGCCAUCCUUGCCAAUUUGAUCUAGAAAAUUCUCUACUCCUCUUGGACUUGACUAAAUUCAGACCCGGGCAUCAGAUGUCUAAGAUCAUUUUCUGCAUUAGUCUACUCUCUUCCUGGCUACAGCAAAAUGAAUAAUCCAUGCUUCAGGGGAAUGGAAAAACUUCUACUGCAGAAUAUAUCAGACCAAAUAUCCUCUGGGAAGAAUGGGAAGGGAUUCUUCCUUACCUCUGUAGGCAGCCAACUGGAGCCCUUGAGUACAGAAUUUGAUUAUACUCAUUAGCUUAAUGCCAACCUGCAAAUGUCUGAGUGGGAAGGGUGUAAUUCAAGCCAUCUUGUUUCAACCAUAAUGGAAGAAGUUGCACAUAUGCGACAUUCUAAUGGAUGUAGGGCUUGAGGGAUCACCAGGGAAUCUUGCCUGACGUGACCCUCCUUUCCUCCUUAUUUGAGGCUCCCUUGGCCAUUAGAAGUUCUCCCAGAAGCUGAAGUAAAGCCAAUAUUUAAGAAAGAAAGACAGUUUUUAGGACAGCAUCAAGCAAUGAGCUAAUGAAUUAUUGACAAUCUAAGGAUUUUCUGUUAUAUAAACCAGAAGCUCUAUUCCUUAAUACAGAGCAGCUCCUCACUGUGUAGAAAGGGGAGUAUGUGCAAAGCUGGCAAGAUCGUUCAAUAUGACAGAACUUGUCAAAUACAAGAAACCAGGAGCUACUGGUAUGUCUUGAAGAGAUCAUUUCAUAUCCAAACCUCCAAUCCUUGUAAGUGCAGCAUCAGGAAGCAAGAUGGACUUCAGAACAAUGCAUAUUGCUACCAGAAGUACCAAUGGAAAUUACAGGAUGAAAAGGAUUUGUGGUGGCCCUCUGCAAAGAUCAUUUCUCUCCAUUAUUCUUCAUGGGACAAAACCUCGGCUUCUCUAAAUGCAGUGGUGGUGCCCAUGGGCUGAGAGGAGCACGAAGUUUGUUGACAUCACCGACCUGCAGAGACAGCAGAAGCGGAUACCCAAUUUAGGAACAUGUCUACAGUGUGAACACUGGGGUUUGUGUUGCUUUUAGAAUUCCCACGAUGCACCAUUUCACGCUUUUUGCUGCUGUUACGGCUCGGUGCAGAUUAUUGCUCUGGGCCCUGUCUGUGUCUUCCUAUUGAGCACAGAGUCAUGUCAAGGAGAACGUCCCACUGACAUAUCUAUUUGCACUGUCCUCUACAAAAAUUUACCAUGGCCCAUGAACAGAAAAAAUACUCUGAACUCUUACACACAUACUGCUUAAGAUAAGGCAAUUAAAUGAUUUAGUUCUUGGAUGUAUCUACUUUUAGCAUAUGGAUUUCAUACGCUGUUGGCUAUGAAAAGAAUGAACACUCCAGUAAAAGGAAUAUUAGUUAAUGGAUAAGAAGAAGGUCACUCAAAUUAUUUCAGCUCUGGAAGAAGAGUUGGUUUUGCACAAGGUUGUGAAUAUCUGGAAAGGACUGGUAAUACCAGAUCAUCCUUUGAUUUAGCCAUUUAAAUAUUCUGUUAAUGUUCAUAAAUCUUUAAGGAUCUGAUCCUGUGAAGUCAUAUUUGCAUGAAUAAGCCUUAUUCACAAACAGUCUCAGUGACUUAUGUUGGUUCAUUUGCGUCAGAAAAAAAUAAUCGGGAUGGUAGUACUGGGUCCUCUUAUAUUUAUAAAUUGUGAUCAAGAUUAUUUUAUGAGGUAAACUUAAGAACCAUCUGGCAUCACCUAUCAUUUCCUGCUGCUUAAUUUCAAUAGCUAUGUGUAGAAGUCAGUGAGUAUUAGCAAUUUCUUUCUUAUCUGAGGGCAGCCAAAUGACCUUCUCCAUUAGACUUAUAUUCCUUCCUAAGAGAGGAUUACUCCUUUGACUUCUAUUUAUCAUAUGAAAUGGAUGUGUGAGACAAUAAGCCUAUGAGAAAUCCACUAGUGGGGCUGCUCAUGGGACAUGUUCUCGAGAGUGAAGUUUCUUCCACUAAGAAUAAUAGCACAUUCUUCCUACUACACACACAGCCAACUGAGGGGGAGCACAACAUCAGCUGUAUUUCAGUUCUCACAAAUCUCUGACAUUUUUAACAGCAAGUAGCUGUGCAUCACUUUACAGUAAUCUUCCCCAGAAAAAAUUACUUUCUUUUCCUUUACAGAGAUAUACUAAACACCCAUUAAUUCCAGCUGAAGUUACAGAUGCUUAGCUGCUCUCAGGAGCGAGUCUUUGAAUACAAACCUGCAAACCAGCUACUCGCAUGCAGCUGGUCAGAAAACUUGUUUUAAGAACUGCAGAACAGAGAUUUCAUCAACAAGAAUAAAUAUUUCUGUCCUUGGGGAUGUUCUUUUUUCUUAGUACGAGGUAUCACGCACAAGUCAACAGGAUGAAUAACACCAUGGGUAAUGUGGCAAGUAAAGUCAUGCAAGCUGGGAUCUGUCUUCCCUUAUACUGUUACAAUAAUUAUAUAAAUGAUUCAGUCCACAAAAUGCUUCUUGAGAUUCAACUUUAAAGGGAAUUUACCACAACAGAGAGAUGGGAUUUUUAUCUAAUCAAAGAAUUACUUCUUGCUAUUUACCCAAAUGAAAAGAUCAGCCAAUCUUUUUCAUUUAAAAAAUACUUUUGCAGCAAGUCACUCCAAGGAGAUUUUUGGUGCCUCUGAUAUGAAUACUGUACUGUGGGUAAGGACUAUUAAGUGCAUCCACCUCGGGUGCUGUACCCUGCUGUCUUAUGCCUAUAUUCUGAGCAGUAAUAAUAUAAACACAAGUUGAAUUUGGAAAAAAAUGGCUCCUGCAUUAUAGAUUUGGGGUUCUCAGCAACUAUCCAAAUGAAUGUCUUAAAAUGAAUCUAAGUCAGCUUCAGUCAAAGGAAGAAAAAUCUCAGAGCCUGAGAAUCUCAUUGUGUCCCAUUAAGAAUCUCAUUGCAUGUCCCUUUGUAAACAAUACAGGGCUGGCAGCCUGGUCAUGGCUCCUCCUGGUGCUGCCUUUGGGGCACCACCCAACCUAUUGUCAGCAGGAAUGUGGGCUCAUGUACUGAGUUUUUGUGUUUUGUGUGAUUGUGUCCUCAAAGCUGAGUUGAGUCGGUCAGAAAAUGAGAGGAACAUGUAAAAAACUGACAAAAGUGAUUUUUAUCAACUUCUGUCAUAUUUGCUAUUUUCUCUUAUAUGAAUAAGAAUGCAAAAUGAUGGCCAUGUAUAAAAAUGUUUAUGAGCCAAUUUGCAGAUAUUCCUGAGAGCAAAGAAGGCAGAGUUUGGUACAAUGCAAAGGUCUGGUCCUACAUUAUCCUGUCAAUAUGAUUCAGACAAAUUAUUCAGGGGAGUAUUUACUUGGUCACAGGUUCUCAGGAUUGAGUCUUAAUGAUGGAGAAUGGCAUUUAGCAGCUUAUCUAUAGUGUAUUUUACCUUCUUACUCCUGAAAUAGACCAUCUAUCCAUGGCCAUAAUGAUUGUCCUUCUGACCCAGCAGUUUCUCUUUAAAAUGGCCUACAUGAAGAUAGCACGGGUUUGUUUAGUUAGAGGCAAAAAACACUACUGAGGAAAUUCAAGCUGAUUCCUUUUCUGUUGUGUAUAGCAUUGAAGAAGACUUUCACCUUAAAGCAAAUAAACCAGAUACAAAAUGAA